rnacentral:rRNA from 1 species
CCAAUAGCGUAUAUUAAAGUUGUUGCAGUUAAAAAGCUCGUAGUUGAAUUUCGGGACCAAUUUGUUGGUCGUGCCUCGGUACGUACUAGUAUUAUUGGUUUCUCCCUUCUGAAGAACCUUGAUGUCAUUAAUUUGGUGUCUUGGGGAAUCAGGACUGUUACUUUGAAAAAAUUAGAGUGUUUAAAGCAGGCAUACGCUUGAAUACAUUAGCAUGGAAUAAUUAAAUAGGACGUUUGAUUCUAUUUUGUUGGUUUCUAGGAUCGACGUAAUGAUUAAUAGGGAUAGUUGGGGGCAUUAGUAUUCAAUUGUCAGAGGUGAAAUUCUUGGAUUUAUUGAAGACUAACUACUGCGAAAGCAUUUGCCAAGGAUGUUUUCAUUAAUCAAGAACGAAAGUUAGGGGAUCGAAGACGAUCAGAUACCGUCGUAGUCUUAACCAUAAACUAUGCCGACUAGGGAUCGGAUGAUGUUAAUUUUUUAAUGACUUAUUCGGCGCCUUACG